AUGGUGGCACAGGGCAAUAGGGCGCCAUUCAUUAAGAGAGAAACUGACACAGUGGAACUAGCUGAACUGGGUCCCCUGCUGGAAGAGAAAGGCAAGGAGGUAACCACCAACCCAACUAAGGCUGAGGAAAGCAAACAUGACCAGUGCCUUGGGAAGAGGAGGUACGGGUACUGACACGUCUCCUGAAAGCCCACCGUGCCAUGGAGGAGUUCGUAUACAAGGUCUGGGAGGAAUGUUGGAGGGUCAUUCCAUAUGAUGCACUUCCCGACUACCUGAAAGACAGUGACUACCUGCUACAUGGCCAUAGAUGACCUAUGCCCUCCUUUCAGGCUUGCUUCAAGAGCAACUUCUGUAUCCACACAGAAACUGGCAACAUCUGGACCCAUCUGCUUGGUUUUGUGCUGUUUCUCUUAGGGAAUCUUGACCAUGCUCAGACCAAAUAUGUACUUCAUGGCUCCUCUGCAGGAGAAGGUGGUUUUGGGAAUAUUCUUUUGGGUGCCGUGCUCUGCCUCAGCUUCUCCUGGCUCUUUCACGCUGUCUGUUGUCAUUCGGAGAAAGUCUCUCAAACUUUUUCCAAACUGGACUAUUCAGGGAUUGCCCUACUGAUUAUGGGGAACUUUGUCCCCUGGCUCUAUAACUCCUUCUACUGCUCCCCACAGCCAUGCUCAUCUACCUGUCUGUCGUCUGUGUCUUGGGCACUUCUGCUAUUAUGUGGCACAGUGGGAUCUGUUUGCCAUUCCUAAGCACCAGCAGGCAAGAGUAGGAGUGUUCUUGGGACUUGGCUUGAGUGGUGGUGUGCCCACCAUGCACUUUACUAUCCCUGAGGGCUUUAUCAAGGCCACCACAGUAGGCCAGAUGGGCUGGUUCUUCCUUAUGGCUGUGAGUUAUACCACCAGAGCUGACUUUUAUGCUACUCUGAUUCUUGAGCGCUUCUUUCCUGGAAAAUUUGACAUAUGGUUCCAGUCUCAUCAGAUUUUCCAUGUCCUGGUGGUGGCAGCAGCUUUUUUCCACUUCUGCGGAGUCUCCAACCUUCAGGAAUUUCUCUACGGCCUAAAAGGUGGCUAUACUGAUGGCUCCCUUCUCUGA